rnacentral:tRNA from 1 species
GCCGGAGUGGCGGAAUGGCAGACGCAUACGACUCAAAAUCGUACGGGGUAACUCGUGCCGGUUCAAGUCCGGCCUUCGGUA